rnacentral:rRNA from 1 species
GAGUUUGAUCCUGGCUCAGAACGAACGCUGGCGGCGUGCUUAACACAUGCAAGUCAGGGAGAAAGUCUCUUCGGGGAUGAUUAAACCGGCGCACGGGUGAGUAACACGUGAGUGACCUGCCUUUUAGACUGGAACAACUUACCGAAAGGUGAGCUAAUGCCGGAUGAGUUAUAUAAGUGCAUGUUUAUAUAGGAAAAGUUGGGGAGACCUGACGCUGAAAGAUGGACUCGCGUCCCAUUAGCUAGUUGGUAGGGUAAUGGCCUACCAAGGCGACGAUGGGUAGCCGGCCUGAGAGGGUGGCCGGCCACACUGGGACUGAGACACGGCCCAGACUCCUACGGGAGGCAGCAGUGGGGAAUUUUGCGCAAUGCUCGUAAGAGUGACGCAGCGACGCCGCGUGAAUGACGAAGGCCUUCGGGUCGUAAAGUUCUUUCGACAGGGAAGAAAAUGCCUAUAAGUAACUGUGUAUGUAUUGACGGUACCUGUAUAAGCAGCCCCGGCUAACUCCGUGCCAGCAGCCGCGGUAAUACGGAGGGGGCGAGCGUUGUUCGGAGUGACU